rnacentral:tRNA from 1 species
GAGGUUUUAGUAUAUUUAAGUAUAAUCGGUUGCAGCCCGAGAGGAUAAUAAUCUAUU